GCUAGGUGUGGUGACACACACCUGUGGUCCCAGCUACUUGGGAGGCUGAGGCAGGAGGAUUGCUUGAGCCCAGGAGUUUGAGGCUGCAGUGAACCAUGAUUGUGCCACUGCACUCCAACCUGAGCAACAGAGUGAGACCUUGUCUCAA
ensembl:misc_RNA Metazoa_SRP Metazoan signal recognition particle RNA